GACGAACGCUGGCGGCGUGCUCAACACAUGCAAGCCGAACGGAAAGGCCCUGCUUUUGUGGGGUGCUCGAGUGGCGAACGGGUGAGUAACACGUGAGUAACCUGCCCUUGACUUUGGGAUAACCUCAGGAACCUGGGGCUAAUACCGGAUAGGAGCUCCUGUUGCAUGGUGGGGGUUGGAAAGUUUCGGCGGUUGGGGAUGGACUCGCGGCUUAUCAGCUUGUUGGUGGGGUAGUGGCUUAACAAGGCUUUGACGGGUAGCCGGCCUGAGAGGGUGACCGGCCACAUUGGGACUGAGAUACGACCCCAACUCCUACGGGAGGCAGCAGUGGGGAAUAUUGCACAAUGGGCGGAAGCCUAAUGCAGCAACGCCACGUGCGGAAUGAGGGCCUUCGGGGUGUAAGCCGCUUUCACCUGUGACGAAGCGUGAGUGACGGUAAUGGGUAGAAAAGCGCCGGCUAACUACGUG
rnacentral:rRNA from 1 species